UACGGAGGGUGCAAGCGUUAUCCGGAUUUACUGGGUUUAAAGGGUGCGUAGGCGGCGCAACAAGUCACUUGUGAAAUCUCCGGGCUUAACCCGGAGCGGUCAAGUGAUACUGUCGUGCUAGAGUGCGGAAGGGGCUACUGGAAUUCUCGGUGUAGCGGUGAAAUGCGUAGAUAUCGAGAGGAACACCAAUAGCGAAGGCAGCUCGCUGGGACGUUACUGACACUGAGGCGCGAAAGCGUGGGGAGCGAACAGG
rnacentral:rRNA from 1 species